UCAUUGGACCUGAAUGUUUGUAGCAUCAUGAGCACAGAGCACUUUUAGAGGAGGAAUUCAGUUGACUCAAGAUUAAGAACCUGUUUCAAUCAGGGUCUACUUGCUCUAAUAUGUGUAGCUGACAAAUAAAACAAUCCAUUGCUUUGGAAUAAUUUUCAGCUUUGAGAAUGGAGCGUGACAGGGCAUUUCCUUCCUGCUGGUAGUGACACUGUCUCUUCCCAAGAAAAGACCACAUUGUCCAAGAAUCCAGAGGGGAAAAAAUACACUAACACCAGCUUGACACUAAAUUUUGGACACACCCAAGAGGAAGAAAAACAGUCGAGCUCCCUCAUGAAAAAGAAGGACUUGCAGUCUUCUUCACUGUCAUGGGAACAGACUGAUUACUUUUUCAUUCCAGGUAGCACCCUGGAAUUCGUGGCAACAGUAAAAUCUGCCAGUCAUGGGAAAUCACAUGAAUGAUUCUGUGGAGGCUAACCCAAGAUUGCUGAACUCAUUUUCAUGCAUGGCUAAAUGCAGAAUUGAACCUUGUGCUCCAGAAAUGAAAGAAAGGAAAAAAUUGUCAGCGAGUCCAAAAAUGACAAGAGUAUAAACUGAACUCUCAGGGAGGGAAAAGUCACUGGAGAGAAGCUGAGCAAUUUAUAUCCUUUGGUCACUGUGGAAGAUGGGUUUGAUAACCCUGACAGGAUUCCAGGUGCCCACCAAGGCUGCUCUAUCACAGCCCUCAUCUGGACAGGGGAGAGAAAAUAUAACAAAAGGCUCAUGAGUUAAAGACAGGGAGAGAUCACUCACCCAUUACCAUCGUGGGCAAAAACUCCUCCCUGUCCCUCUGCACUGACCUUGGUGUCUGCAGAGUUGUUUCUCUCACAUAUUUUCACUCCUCUCUGUGGCUGCACUUGUGCAGGGUUUGUGGUUUCCCCUUCCUAAAUACAUGACCCCACAGGCAUUACCACCAUCACUGAUGAGCUCAGCCUUGGCCAGUGGUGGGUCCAUCCUGCAGCUGGUUGGCUUUGGCUCCAUCAGACAUAGGGGAAGUUUCUGGCAACUUGUCACAGAAGCCACCCUUGCAGCCCUCCCCUUCUAGCAAAACCUGGCCACACAAACCCAACAUGGAGAAAUCAGGGAAAUUAUCCUUCCAGAGUCCUUUUGGGGUGUUCAGGGAACUUGGCAGAGACUGUCUCUAAAACUGAAAUACCUGGAAGGGGUUAUGGUACAAAAGACAGGUGAAUGCAGAAGACUCUCCAGGAUCUGAAGGAUUUACCCAUGAAUUCCAAGAAAACUCAGGGAUGAAAUUUCUACUAAAAGCAGCAUGUGACAUGUCUUUUCACUGUUCCUCUGUACAUGAAAAUCAGGUGUCAAAUGUGAUGUCCAUCAUUAAGAAAGGUUCAAGGGUAUCCAGCAACUUAAAACUGACAUCUGUUUCCAGGUGAACAACUAGACAUUGUAAGAGAGAGAAUUAAUAUCUACCUGAAUAAAUAUUAUCUUAACAGUG